CUCAUUGUUUCAUUUAUCAUACAUAGUGAUAAAUAAAACUCUUUUUCCUUCUUGCUGUCUGGUUGAAUGUUACUUCAUACAAAAGUUUUCUGGAAUAAUAAUUCAAACUUUAUCAACAUGUUAAAGUUGUCUAUGUGAAUAGUAAAAGUACAAGUGUCAGAAUGAAAAGAGCAAUAUUUGGGGGAAAAUUAAUUUGAUCUUGGUCCUAUUAAGUAUUUGUAACAUUGUAUCCUCUAAAUAUCUACAAAAUAAUGUAAUGUUUAUUGCACCUUAUGGAAAUUGAAUGUUCUAGCAUACAAUACAGUCACCACCUAUCAUAUCAUGACUUUUUCCUAUUUCAUCCCAAUAUAAACAAAUAUCUAUUCCUUUUACCUUAAAAAUACAUAUAUCCUUGUAUGCUUUUCUUUUAUUAUAGAAAAGAAUUAGUGAAGCUGCUAUACAAUGCCCUUGUUUUCAGAUAAAGAAAG
rnacentral:lncRNA from 1 species